rnacentral:rRNA from 1 species
AGAUUGAACGCUGGCGGCAGGCCUAACACAUGCAAGUCGAGCGGCAGCACGGGUACUUGUACCUGGUGGCGAGCGGCGGACGGGUGAGUAAUGCCUAGGAAUCUGCCUGGUAGUGGGGGAUAACGCUCGGAAACGGACGCUAAUACCGCAUACGUCCUACGGGAGAAAGCAGGGGACCUUCGGGCCUUGCGCUAUCAGAUGAGCCUAGGUCGGAUUAGCUAGUUGGUGAGGUAAUGGCUCACCAAGGCGACGAUCCGUAACUGGUCUGAGAGGAUGAUCAGUCACACUGGAACUGAGACACGGUCCAGACUCCACGGGAGCAGCAGUGGGGAAUAGUUGGACAAGUGGGACAAAGCCUGACU